CCCAGCUAGAGGACUCUGUCCUGAGCAAUCAACUGGUAAUGGAGAUAUUUACAUGCUAAUUAAUGACUUAUGCUAAUUAAUGAUACUCUGAACAGACUAUAAAUUAUUGAAUGCUCAAGUUUAAAACCUUAUCCUGAGAGAAAGCCUACAGUAAUAGGUUAUAAUAGACCAAUUAAGUCUCUUCUCAGGAUGAUCUAUGACACGAUUUACCCAUUAACUUAGCUGUCAUACGUCUUGAAAGUAUAAUAUAAAUCUAGGCAGGAAAAGGAGUGUAGGGAUUAACUGGUAGAAGCAAGCAGGAGAAAUAACAUCCUGAAGCUGAGGCAGUAGGAAGGCUUUGUCAUCCUGCAGGAUGAAAGGAGAGGAUGGAUCUGGUGUGAAGAUGCUGCGAGAGAAGAAGGCCAAAACAUAGCAUCAUACCAGCCACUAUGAAGGAGAAAACAACUCUGUCCCAGCUGAAACCAGGACAAUAUGAAGACUCUGCACUGACCUUGACACCCAGCUUCCCUGAGAAACAGGAACAGCCAACUGCUGGUGUGAAGAAAUCUGAUGACCAACGUGGAUAGUGAUAACAAAAAAAAUCUUCCUAAAAGCCUACAACUUCAAAAAUAAUGUUUUUUUCUUCCCCCCUUACUCCUGAAAAUCAAACUUUGCUUUACAUAAUUAACCCCUACAUUUGGCAGCUGAAACUUUUUUUUUUUUUCCCAUAUGAUCAGACCUAAGACAAACCCUUGAAAUAUUUUGCUGUUGAAAACUUGGAUGAAAAUAUCUUGGUCUGUGUGUGGAAUUCAUCUGCAAUGGGAUCCGGAUGGCCAUAACCUCAACCUGAAAUGUGACAUUAUGGAGCCACAAAGCUUCAAAACCUUGAGAUGAGUCUGUACUAGAAGAGAAAAGCUGCAGUUCAGCAACUAGACAUUAAGAGUGAGAGGAAGGAGCUCAUCCUGCAGUCUCAGCUGGGAUCAUGCAGGAAUAGAAAGGAGGAGAACAAAGACCAAGAAAGCAGUGAUAUGUGGACUGGGAUGAAAGUGAGGUGAAAGAAGAAAGUGGAAUGAGAGUCGCACAAGCAGAGUGCAUGGACAUGCAGCAGGGGACGGAAGAAAACAGAUGUGCU
ensembl:lncRNA